UACGAAGGGUGCAAGCGUUACUCGGAAUUACUGGGCGUAAAGGGCGCGUAGGCGGCCAUCUAAGUCAGACGUGAAAUCCCCCGGCUUAACCUGGGAACUGCGUCUGAUACUGGGAGGCUUGAGUAUGGGAGAGGGAUGUAGAAUUCCAGGUGUAGCGGUGAAAUGCGUAGAUAUCAGGAGGAACACCUGCGGUGUAGACGGCUUACUGGACCAUAACUGACGCUGAGGCACGAAAGCGUGGGUAGCAAACAGG
rnacentral:rRNA from 1 species